UACGUAGGGGGCGAGCGUUGUCCGGAUUUAUUGGGCGUAAAGAGCUCGUAGGCGGCUUGGCAAGUCGGGUGUGAAACCUCCAGGCUCAACCUGGAGACGCCACUCGAUACUGCUAUGGCUAGAGUUCGGUAGGGGAGACUGGAAUUCCUGGUGUAGCGGUGAAAUGCGCAGAUAUCAGGAGGAACACCGGUGGCGAAGGCGGGUCUCUGGGCCGAUACUGACGCUGAGGAGCGAAAGCGUGGGGAGCGAACAGG
rnacentral:rRNA from 1 species